GAUGAACGCUGGCGGCGUACCUAAUACAUGCAAGUCGAGCGAACAGACGAGGAGCUUGCUCCUUCGACGUUAGCGGCGGACGGGUGAGUAACACGUAGGUAACCUACCUAUAAGACUGGGAUAACUUCGGGAAACCGGAGCUAAUACCGGAUAAUAUUUCGAACCGCAUGGUUCGAUAGUGAAAGAUGGCUUUGCUAUCACUUAUAGAUGGACCUGCGCCGUAUUAGCUAGUUGGUAAGGUAACGGCCUACCAAGGCAACGAUACGUAGCCGACCUGAGAGGGUGAUCGGCCACACUGGAACUGAGACACGGUCCAGACUCCUACGGGAGGCAGCAGUAGGGAAUCUUCCGCAAUGGGCGAAAGCCUGACGGAGCAACGCCGCGUGAGUGAUGAAGGUCUUCGGAUCGUAAAACUCUGUUAUUAGGGAAGAACAAACGUGUAAGUAACUGUGCACGUCUUGACGGUACCUAAUCAGAAAGCCACGGCUAACUACGUG
rnacentral:rRNA from 1 species